rnacentral:rRNA from 1 species
CCUACGGGUGGCAGCAGUGGGGAAUAUUGGACAAUGGGGGGAACCCUGAUCCAGCGACGCCGCGUGAGUGAAGAAGUAUUUCGGUAUGUAAAGCUCUAUCAGCAGGGAAGAAAGAAAUGACGGUACCUGACUAAGAAGCCCCGGCGAACUAAGUGCCAGCAGCCGCGGUAAGACGGAGGGGGCAAGCGUUAUCCGGAUUUACUGGGUGUAAAGGGAGCGUAGACGGCAAGGCAAGUCUGGAGUGAAAGCCCGGGGCCCAACCACGGGACUGCUUUGGAAACUGUGUUGCUGGAGUGCAGGAGGGGUAAGCGGAAGUGCUAGUGUAGCGGUGAAAUGCGUAGAUAUUAGGAGGAACACCGGUGGCGAAGGCGGCUUACUGGACUGUAACUGACGUUGAGGCUCGAAGGCGUGGGGAGCAAACAGGAUUAGAGACCCCAGUAGUC